UGUUUAGUCCCCGUUUUCUGCACUUCUUCCGUUGUCUAAGGCGCAUUUGAAUGUGCAUUCGUUUUCUCUUCCACAGAAAAACACAGAACCUCCUCAUCUCAAUGUACCAACAGCUAAUGUGAUCCAUUUCAGAGUUUCAGUGAACUCGCAUGUUAGCUUUCAUUAAUCAGUUUCUUGUUAUGGCUCCACCAAUUGAAAUUCCAAGUAAAUCUCCUGCCGUCCAGAAGGCCUCACUUGCGGUGCGCCUCUUAAUGAAAGGAUACUCUCUUCCAUCACGACGAAAACAGCUGCUGCUCAUCCCUGGCAUAGGUACAUAUCUUCACUAUCUACCUCAUUUUUCAUUACUCAAUUAAUCUUUUUCCCCAUUGUAGGACCUGGAGCACCAAUUAUCUUCCACUGUGUAAGAGUUCACCUUUUCAUACUAUAAAUUUGUGAAUAUCUCCAUCAUUUGUACCAAAAACUUGUUAAUACAUUCCCAAAUGGAAAUUGUAGUUUUUUUGUAGUUUGCCCUUUCUUGUUAUUAUGAGAUUGUCAGAUUUUGCUUUACUUAAAAGUUCAGUCCACUCUCAACUUGUAUAAGUAAAGGAAGUAAGGUGAAAUAUGAACUUGACAAGAAAACAGGCCUAAUCAAGGUAUGAGGUUUACUAUCUUCGAACGCAAGAUAUAUUUGGUUGAUCGUCAGCUAUUAAAAUUUGGUCGAUCGUGUUCUCUACUCAUCAGUUGUGUAGCCCCACAACUACGGUUUUGUCCCUUGCACUCUCUGCGAAGACAAUGACCCUAUCGAUGUAUUGGUGAUUAUGCAGGAACCUGUCCUUCCAGGCUGCUUUCUCAGGGCCAAAGCAAUAGGUCUUAUGCCCAUGAUUGAUCAGGGAGAGAAAGAUGACAAGAUAAUUGCUGUGUGCGCUGACGAUCCUGAGUAUCGGCAUUACACAGACGUUAGCAGAGGCGGAUCCAGGUGGGGUUGAGUGGGGUCGGCCGACCCCACCACCCUGCCUCGGAGUGCCACCGGAAAGCUCCUUUCUUCGACCUCCGACCUUACGGCGUUCGCGUCUCCGCCCCCACCUCACGCAGUGUGAGAUGAGACCGAGCAGAGAGAAAGAAAGGAAGUGAGGUGGGACAAAGUCCGGAAUCUGGCGGCGGCAUCACGGCGGAGUCGGCAGAUGUCGAGAAUGAAGAAAUUAAAUGUUGAGAAUUCAGAAGAGCUUUCAGUUUUUUUUUUGCCGAAGAGGGAGAAAAUAAAAUGGGUUUGGCGAUGUGGGUGAGGAGAGAGAAGUGAGUUGCAUUAUUGUUUUUUCUUUCCAAUAUUUACCCAGAGACCUAGAAUUAAAUGGCAUCAACAAAGAUGCACCCAUAAUUUGCUAAUUUUAAAAGAUUAGAGAUCUUGAAUAUGUAUCUAAUUUUAAAAUGGCCUUUGAAUUUUUCUUUCUUUAUUUGUAUUAAUUCUCAGAAGUCCAUUAAACGUGUAUUCUCAUCUAAUAAUUUUAAUUAAUGUUACAUAGUAUAAUAUGUUUUUUUAUA